GCCUCGAUGACGCAGUAUGCAGCGCGUGAGUCUCAUAAUCUCAAGGUCGUGAGUUCGAUCCUCACUCGGGGCA
rfam:Ciona savignyi cont_57981, whole genome shotgun sequence.